UACAGGGGGGGCAAGCGUUGUUCGGAAUUACUGGGCGUAAAGGGCUCGUAGGCGGCCAACCAAGUCAGACGUGAAAUCCCUCAGCUUAACUGGGGAACUGCGUCUGAUACUGGAUGGCUUGAAUCCGGGAGAGGGAUGCGGAAUUCCAGGUGUAGCGGUGAAAUGCGUAGAUAUCUGGAGGAACACCGGUGGCGAAGGCGGCAUCCUGGACCGGCAUUGACGCUGAGGAGCGAAAGCCAGGGGAGCAAACGGG
rnacentral:rRNA from 1 species